rnacentral:rRNA from 1 species
GCAUAUCAAUAAGCGGAGGAAAAGAAACCAACAGGGAUUGCCCCAGUAACGGCGAGUGAAGCGGCAACAGCUCAAAUUUGAAAUCUGGCUCCUAGAGUCCGAAUUGUAAUUUGCAGAGGAUGCUUUUGAUGCGGUGCCUUCCGAGUUCCCUGGAACGGGACGCCAUAGAGGGUGAGAGCCCCGUCUGGUCGGAUGCCAAAUCUCUGUAAAGCUCCUUCGACGAGUCGAGUAGUUUGGGAAUGCUGCUCUAAAUGGGAGGUAUAUGUCUUCUAAAGCUAAAUAUUGGCCAGAGACCGAUAGCGCACAAGUAGAGUGAUCGAAAGAUGAAAAGCACUUUGAAAAGAGGGUUAAAAAGUACGUGAAAUUGUUGAAAGGGAAGCGCCUAUGACCAGACUUGGGCCCGGUGAAUCAUCCAGCGUUCUCGCUGGUGCACUUUGCCGGGCACAGGCCAGCAUCAGUUUGCCUUGGGGGAAAAAGGCUUUGGGAAUGUAGCUCCUUCGGGAGUGUUAUAGACCAUUGCAUAAUACCCUGGGGCGGACUGAGGUUCGCGCAUCUGCAAGGAUGCUGGCGUAAUGGUCAUCAGCGACCCGUCUUGAAACACGGACC